AUUAUCAACAAAAGUCACUGGGUCACGGUUUAAUGUGAAUUUCGACAUUUAACGUUUCUAUAAGCAUCGCCCACGUCGUUGUUUAGAGAAAAAUAAAAGAUUUUAUUUUAUUAUCAUUAUUCAAUAUUAUUCAUCAUAGUCAAGUUUCGAGCAAAUUUGGGCGUUAAUAACAUCGUUGUGUGUUCUAAUAUUGUUUUCAAAUUAUCAAACACUACACACCAUUCGUAUUUCGCUUCACCUGAUAUUACCGCCCUAGAAGAUGAUGAUUACUCGAGUCGAGCGCAUUUAAAUUAUAUUAGAAUUCAUCAACUGUGCUUGUAAUAAGUUCUAUCGUUGUUGCAUUUUGUUUAAUUAUGUAACAAAUGCAGUUCGUUUAAUCUCUCUGAUAGAUUAUUUACCUUUAUACCU